GAACCGGGGGAACUGAAACAUCUAAGUACCCCGAGGAAAAGAAAUCAACCGAGAUUCCCCCAGUAGCGGCGAGCGAACGGGGAGGAGCCCAGAGCCUGAAUCAGUGUGUGUGUUAGUGGAAGCGUCUGGAAAGGCGCGCGAUACAGGGUGACAGCCCCGUACACAAAAAUGCACAUGCUGUGAGCUCGAUGAGUAGGGCGGGACACGUGGUAUCCUGUCUGAAUAUGGGGGGACCAUCCUCCAAGGCUAAAUACUCCUGACUGACCGAUAGUGAACCAGUACCGUGAGGGAAAGGCGAAAAGAACCCCGGCGAGGGGAGUGAAAAAGAACCUGAAACCGUGUACGUACAAGCAG
rnacentral:rRNA from 1 species